UACGGAGGGUGCAAGCGUUGUCCGGAAUCACUGGGCGUAAAGGGCGCGUAGGCGGCUCGGUAAGUAGGGGGUGAAAUCCUGCGGCUCAACCGCAGGGCUGCCUUCUAAACUGUCGAGCUCGAGCACGGUAGAGGCAGAUGGAAUUCCCGGUGUAGCGGUGGAAUGCGUGGAGAUCCGGAAGAACACCGGUGGCGAAGGCGGCCUGCUGGGCUGACACUGACGCUGAGGCGCGAAAGCUAGGGGAGCGAACGGG
rnacentral:rRNA from 1 species